CCUACGGGUGGCAGCAGUGGGGAAUAUUGGACAAUGGGGGCAACCCUGAUCCAGCCAUGCCGCGUGUGUGAAGAAGGCCCUCGGGUUGUAAAGCACUUUCAGUGAGGAAGAACGCCUGGUGGUUAAUACCCAUCAGGAAAGACAUCACUCACAGAAGAAGCACCGGCUAACUCCGUGCCAGCAGCCGCGGUAAUACGGAGGGUGCGAGCGUUAAUCGGAAUUACUGGGCGUAAAGCGCGCGUAGGUGGCUUGAUAAGCCGGUUGUGAAAGCCCCGGGCUCAACCUGGGAACGGCAUCCGGAACUGUCAAGCUAGAGUGCAGGAGAGGAAGGUAGAAUUCCCGGUGUAGCGGUGAAAUGCGUAGAGAUCGGGAGGAAUACCAGUGGCGAAGGCGGCCUUCUGGACUGACACUGACACUGAGGUGCGAAAGCGUGGGUAUCAAACAGGAUUAGAUACCCUUGUAGUC
rnacentral:rRNA from 1 species